AGUGAACGCUGGCGGUAGGCCUAACACAUGCAAGUCGAACGGCAGCACAGUAAGAGCUUGCUCUUACGGGUGGCGAGUGGCGGACGGGUGAGGAAUACAUCGGAAUCUACUUUUUCGUGGGGGAUAACGUAGGGAAACUUACGCUAAUACCGCAUACGACCUACGGGUGAAAGCAGGGGAUCUUCGGACCUUGCGCGAUUGAAUGAGCCGAUGUCGGAUUAGCUAGUUGGCGGGGUAAAGGCCCACCAAGGCGACGAUCCGUAGCUGGUCUGAGAGGAUGAUCAGCCACACUGGAACUGAGACACGGUCCAGACUCCUACGGUAGGCAGCAGUGGGGAAUAUUGGACAAUGGGCGCAAGCCUGAUCCAGCCAUACCGCGUGGGUGCAGAAGGCCUUCGGGUUGUAAAGCCCUUUUGUUGGGAAAGAAAAGCAGCAGGUUAAUACCCCGCUGUUCUGACGGUACCCAAAGAAUAAGCACCGGCUAACUUCGUG
rnacentral:rRNA from 1 species